rnacentral:tRNA from 1 species
GCCCCUAUGGUCCAGCGGUUUAACGACUUCUCUCUUUCACGGAGACAACGAGGGUUCAAAUCCCUCUGGGGGUG